rnacentral:lncRNA from 1 species
GCAUGCUGCUGCAUGGUUUUAUUCCUCAUGGGUAGAUGAACACACACUGGUAUAUGGGGAAAUCCUCACCCGCCCUCCGCUGCUCUUCUGGAGGUCUGUCCUCUUGCUUUCCUCCUCUGCCCCAGCCUGGUGCUGCCCCAAGCCCUGCCCUGGCAAAGAGAGAACUGUGCACAGCGGGGAGGCUCUCCAAGCCAGAGGCCUCGCACGCAGCUGAGGAAUGACGCAGGGGCCUGCAGGCAGCUCACGCGGAGACAGGUCUGUGGGGCCCCGCGUCAGAACCCACUUCACAUCCCAAAGCCCCACCUGCUUUGAUCUUCAAUGCUGGGCUCAAUGUCAGAUCUGGCUGACCAGAGGGGCUCAAUGAGGCUCACUGGCUCUUCAUGCACCCUGCUGUGGCCUGAGCACGUCCCCCCAAAACCCACCUGCUUAAGUCCUCACCUGCAAGGGGAUGGUAUUAGGUGGGGCAUUUGGGAGGUCAUCCGGUCACAGGGCAGGGGCACAGCCUCAUCAUGGGACCAUCACCCUCACAAAAGAGGUUGCAUCUACUGGUGCUUUCAUCUUGGGCUUCCAGCCUCCAAAACUGAAACUGAUUUCUGUUGUUUAUAAGCCACUAGGUUUACAAUAUUUUCUUUUUUUUUUUUUUUGAGAUGGAGUCUUGCUCUGUCACCCAGACUAGAGUGCAGUGGCACGAUGUCAGCUCACUGCAACCUCCGCCUCCUGGGUUCAAGCGAUUCUCCUGCCUCAGCCUCCCAAGUAAAUGGGAUUACAGGCGCCCACCACCGCGCCCGGCUAAUUUCUGUAUUUUUAUUUCACCAUGUUGGCCAGGCUUUUCCCAAACUCCUGACUUCAGAUGAUCCACC